CCUACGGGUGGCAGCAGUGAGGAAUAUUGGUCAAUGGACGAGAGUCUGAACCAGCCAAGUAGCGUGAAGGAUGACUGCCCUAUGGGUUGUAAACUUCUUUUAUAAAGGAAUAAAACGAGGCACGUGUGCCUUUUUGCAUGUACUUUAUGAAUAAGGAUCGGCUAACUCCGCGCCAGCCGCCGCGGUAAUACGGAGGAUCCGAGCGUUAUCCGGAUUUAUUGGGUUUAAAGGGAGCGUAGAUGGGUUGUUAAGUCAGUUGUGAAAGUUUGCGGCUCAACCGUAAAAUUGCAAUUGAUACUGGCAGUCUUGAGUACAGGUGAGGUAGGCGGAAUUCGUGGUGUAGCGGUGAAAUGCUUAGAUAUCACGAAGAACCUCGAUUGCGAAGGCAGCUUACUAAACUGUAACUGACAUUGAUGCUCGAAAGUGUGGGUAUCAAACAGGAUUAGAUACCCGAGUAGUC
rnacentral:rRNA from 1 species